CCUACGGGCGGCAGCAGUGGGGAAUAUUGCACAAUGGGGGAAACCCUGAUGCAGCGACGCCGCGUGAGUGAAGAAGUAUUUCGGUAUGUAAAGCUCUAUCAGCAGGGAAGAAAAUGACGGUACCUGACUAAGAAGCCCCGGCUAACUACGUGCCAGCAGCCGCGGUAAUACGUAGGGGGCAAGCGUUAUCCGGAUUUACUGGGUGUAAAGGGAGCGUAGACGGCCAGACAAGUCAGAAGUGAAAGCCCAGGGCUCAACCCUGGGACUGGUUUUGAAACUGGCGGGCUGGAGUGCAGGAGAGGAAAGCGGAAUUCCAAGUGUAGCAGUGAAAUGCGGAGAUAUUAGGAGGAACACCAGUGGCGAAGGCGACU
rnacentral:rRNA from 1 species